rnacentral:misc_RNA from 1 species
GUAAUUAUUAUUGUUUUCAGACAUUGACUGCAAAUACAUGGGUGAUUGAUUAUCCCGUAGGGGCAAAAUGCCCUGCUGGGAAAACAAAUUGUACGCAAAAGGCAUGGGUAACGUCAAACAGGUGGGAGUCGCUUGAACCGAAGAACAGUUGAAACCCACCAGUUGAGGUAAUGAUAAUGAUCCUUCCGCAGGUUCACCUACGGAAA